rnacentral:rRNA from 1 species
CCCUUAGAUGUUCUGGGCCGCACGCGCGCUACACUGACGAAUGCAACGAGCUUAUAACCUUGGCCGAAAGGUCUGGGUAAUCUCCAAAUUUCGUCGUGAUGGGGAUAGAUUAUUGCAAUUAUUAAUCUUUAACGAGGAAUGCCUAGUAAGCGCAAGUCAUCAGCUUGCGUUGAUUACGUCCCUGCCCUUUGUACACACCGCCCGUCGCUCCUACCGAUUGAAUGGUCCGGUGAAGCGCUCGGACCGCGGCCUCUUGACGGUUUUCCGUCGAUUGGCUGUGGGAAGUUCGUUAAACCUUAUCAUUUAGAGGAAGGAGAAGUCGUAACA